AUGAGAUGGUCCGCCACCCACGACGUCGCGAGAAGUCCACUGAACCUUAUCAUUUAAAGGAAGGAGAAGUCAUAACAAGGUUUUCAUAGGUGAACCUAUGGAAGGAUCAUUG
rnacentral:rRNA from 1 species